rnacentral:rRNA from 1 species
ACGCUCGACACCUACGUGAGGCAGCAGUGGGGAAUAUUGCACAAUGGGGGAAACCCUGAUGCAGCGACGCCGCGUGGAGGAAGAAGGUCUUCGGAUUGUAAACUCCUGUUGUUGGGGAAAAAGAGGAUGGUACCCAACAAGGAAGUGACGGCUAACUACGUGGCAGCAGCCGCGGUAAUCUGAGCGGGCUGGCAAGGC